GGCAUACGGCUCAGUAACACGUAGUCAACAUGCCCAGGGGACGUGGAUAACCUCGGGAAACUGAGGAUAAACCGCGAUAGGUCAUCACUUCUGGAAUGGGUAAUGACUUAAACCUAUAUGGCCCCUGGAUUGGACUGCGGCCGAUCAGGCUGUUGGUGAGGUAAUGGCCCACCAAACCUGUAACCGGUACGGGCUCUGCGAGGAGGAGCCCGGAGAUGGGCACUGAGACAAGGGCCCAGGCCCUAUGGGGCGCAGCAGGCGCGAAACCUCUGCAAUAGGCGAAAGCUUGACAGGGUUACUCUGAGUGAUUUCCGUUAAGGAGAUCUUUUGGCACCUCUAAAAAUGGUGCAGAAUAAGGGGUGGGCAAGUCUGGUGUCAGCCGCCGCGGUAAUACCAGCACCCCGAGUGGUCGGGACGUUUAUUGGGCCUAAAGCAUCCGUAGCCGGUUCUACAAGUCUUCCGUUAAAUCCACCUGCUUAACAGAUGGGCUGCGGAAGAUACUAUAGAGCUAGGAGGCGGGAGAGGCAAGCGGUACUCGAUGGGUAGGGGUAAAAUCCGUUGAUCCAUUGAAGACCACCAGUGGCGAAGGCGGCUUGCCAGAACGCGCUCGACGGUGAGGGAUGAAAGCUGGGGGAGCAAACCGGAUUAGAUACCCGGGUAGUCCCAGCUGUAAACGA
rnacentral:rRNA from 1 species